UAGUCCACGCCGUAAACGAUGAUCACUCGCUGUCUGCGAUACACAGUAGGCGGCUGAGCGAAAGCAUUAAGUGAUCCACCUGGGGAGUACGAUCGCAAGGUUGAAACUCAAAGGAAUUGACGGGGGCCCGCACAAGCGGAGGAACAUGUGGUUUAAUUCGAUGAUACGCGAGGAACCUUACCUGGACUUAAAUGUAGGAUGCAUAAGGUGGAAACACUUUUUUCCUUCGGGACUUCUUACAAGGUGCUGCAUGGUUGUCGUCAGCUCGUGCCGUGAGGUGUCGGGUUAAGUCCCAUAACGAGCGCAACCCCUAUUGUUAGUUGCCAGCGAGUAAUGUCGGGGACUCUAACGAGACUGCCCGCGUAAGCGGAGAGGAAGGUGGGGACGACGUCAAAUCAUCAUGGCCUUUAUGCCUAGGGCUACACACGUGCUACAAUGGCAGGUACAGAGGUUGCGAAGGGGUGACCUGGAGCUAAUCUCAGAAAGCCUGUCCCAGUUCGGAUUGGAGU
rnacentral:rRNA from 1 species